rnacentral:rRNA from 1 species
ACUGCUAUCGGGAUAGGACUAAGACAUGCUAGUCUAGCGCUCACCAGCCAAGGUGAGUGCGGCGCACAGCUCAGUAACACGUGGCUAACCUGCCCUUGGGACGGGGACACCCCCGGGAAACUGGGGUUAAUCCCCGAUAGGCGAAGAAGUCUGGAAUGACUCUCCACCCAAAGGGUGCUUAUGCUAUGCUCAUAGGUGUCGCCCAAGGAUGGGGCCGCGACCGAUCAGGUUGUUGGUGAGGUAAUGGCUCACCAAGCCUUUUACCGGUGCGGGCCGUGGGAGCGGGAGCCCGGAGAUGGGCACUGAGACAAGGGCCCAGGCCCUACGGGGCGCAGCAGUCGCGAAAACUUUGCAAUACACGAAAGUGUGACAGGGCUAUCCCGAGUGCCAUCCGCUGAGGAAGGCUUUUACCCAGUUUAGAACGCUGGGAGAAUAAGGAGAGGGCAAGACUGGUGUCAGCCGCCGCGGUAAUACCAGCUCUCCGAGUGGUGUGGAUGUUUAUUGGGCCUAAAGCAUCCGUAGCUGGCUGGGCAAGUCCCCUGUUAAAUCCACCGAUUUAAUCGUUGGAGUGCGGGGGAUACUGCUCGGCUAGGGGACGGGAGAGGCAGACGGUAUUUUCGGGGUAGGGGUGAAAUCCUAUAAUCCCGAGAGGACCACCAGUGGCGAAGGCUGUCUGCUAGAACGUGCCCGACG